rnacentral:rRNA from 1 species
UACGUAGGGGCCUAGCGUUGUCCGGAUUUAUUGGGCGUAAAGAGCUCGUAGGCGGCUUGGUAAGUCAGGUGUGAAAUCUCCACGCUCAACGUGGAGGGGCCACCCGAAACUGCCAUGGCUUGAGUCCGGUAGGGGAGUGUGGAAUUCCCGGUGUAGCGGUGAAAUGCGCAGAUAUUGGGAAGAACACCGGUGGCGAAGGCGGCGACCUGGUCCUUAACUGACGCUGAGGCGCGAAAGCGUGGGGAGCAAACAGG